rnacentral:rRNA from 1 species
UGGGGAAUAUUGCACAAUGGGCGCAAGCCUGAUGCAGCCAUGCCGCGUGUAUGAAGAAGGCCUUCGGGUUGUAAAGUACUUUCAGCGAGGAGGAAGGCGUUGUGGUUAAUAACCUCAGCAAUUGACGUUACCCGCAGAAGAAGCACCGGCUAACUCCGUGCCAGCAGCCGCGGUAAUACGGAGGGUGCAAGCGUUAAUCGGAAUUACUGGGCGUAAAGCGCACGCAGGCGGUCUGUCAAGUCGGAUGUGAAAUCCCCGGGCUCAACCUGGGAACUGCAUUCGAAACUGGCAGGCUAGAGUCUUGUAGAGGGGGGUAGAAUUCCAGGUGUAGCGGUGAAAUGCGUAGAGAUCUGGAGGAAUACCGGUGGCGAAGGCGGCCCCCUGGACAAAGACUGACGCUCAGGUGCGAAAGCGUGGGGAGCAAACA